GGGACCCAGGGACUGGGAGGCCGGUUGGGGCUGGGCUCAGGGGCCGAGACCUAGCUGGGCUUGGGGCGGGGCCGAGACGGAGCGAGGGGUCCAGGGUGUGGGAAACGGGGAGGGGUUUGAGGAGGGGAUCGGAAUGUGGCUCAAGUUCGGGAGGCGUUACCUGCGGAGGGUUUGAGGCAGGCCCAAGAGCGAGCCCAUGGUCUUCCGACGCGGGGCCAGGGGCGGGCCCCAGGAUCCGGAGCUUCGUGCGGGGCCGAGUCCAGGUUUGGGGCCCGGGAGGCGGGGCCAGUUAGGGCGACUGUCCCUGGGAUCGUCGGGUCAGGCCUUGGGCUAACGUAGGCACUCUCGCAGUUCCUCCGCCUUCAGGAAGGUCUUUUCAGCAGGGGCCUUACGGGUGCAUGCUUCGGUCCUGGAGGCCUUAUCCUAGCCUCCUCUCCAUCAGCGCCACCCGUCUGGGGCCCGAAAGGAGGGAGCUUUCCCUCUGUCCCCCAGCCUUUGGACUGUCACCAAACAAGCCAUUCGUUCAUCAAAUACUUUUUAAGCGCCUACCAUGUGCCUGACAAGGGAGAUGUAACGGUGAGAAAAACUAGGUGUGGUCCAGGCCCUUCAGGGGCUCAGGUGCUCGUGGAAGAAGUGGACAUUGAAGUACUUAUCACACAAAUGAGGAUAAAAGUACGAUAGCGAUAUCUACCACGAAGCUGUUGUUCCCCACCAGAACCAAAUGAGCGCAAGAUCUGACAAAGAAAAAAAAAGGUUCAUCUUUUAUUCCUCCAAACACUUUCAUUUAAAUCAAGAGGAUGGGAUGUGGUUAUUGCUGUGUUUUUAGACAGAAUCAACGGUUUCUGGGUCUGAGAUGUUGCAUACACCUUCUCAGUCCCUGUAUCCUGAGAUGGAGUCACCUGAGAAUCCACAGCAAGUCCUAACCAGGGAUGGGUCUGGGUGAUUAAGGAAGGUUGGCUUCAGAACUGGGCCAGGGGCACUGCUUUGCUUUUGCUGUUUUGAUCAGCUCUCUGCCUGAAGGAGACAAGAAAAACCAACGGGAACAGCUGGGGAAACUGAGUUACAGAGCUUGUCUGCACUGAGUCAUCAGGAGCAAAUGCUAGAUCAGAUAGGGUCUCUCUCUCUGCCACCCAGGCCAGAGUGCAGUUGACGCAGGGCAGGGGAGCCCCGAAGUGGAGCAUAGUGUGUCCGGAACUGGUGGGUUCUUGGUCUCACUGACUUCAAGAAAGAAGCCGCGGACCCUCGCGAAACUCCUGGAGGGCAGAGGCAUGCCUGCCAUCUUCAUCAUUGCAUUACCACCACCCAACACUAUCGGGGGACCUGCCCUGAUAAUCAGUCUACAGGUGUAUCCAGCAGCUCCAGAGAGACAGCGACCAGCGAGAAGGGGCCAUGAUGAUGGAGGUGGUUUUGUCAAAACGAAAAUGGGGAUAUGUAGGGAAAAGAAAGAGAGAUCAGACUGUUACUGUGUCUACAUAGAAAGGGAAGACAUAAGAGACUCCAUUUUGAAAAAGACCUGUACUUUAAACAAUUGCUUUGCUGAGAUGUUGUUAAUCUGUAGCUUUGCCCCAGCCACUUUGCCCCAACCACUUUGACCCAAUCUGGAGCUCAUAAAAACAUGUGUUGUAUGAAAUCAAGGUUUAAGGCAUGUAGGGCUGUGCAGGACGUGCCUUGUUAACCAAAUGUUUGCAAGCAGUAUACUUGGUAAAAGUCAUCACCAUUCUCUCAUCUCAAUAAACCAGGGGCACAAUGCACUGUGGAAAGCCGCAGGGACCUCUGCCCUUGAAAGCUGGGUAUUGUCCAAAGUUCCUCCCCAUGUGAUAGUCUGAAAUAUGGCCUCGUGGGAUGAGAAAGACCUGACGGUCCCCCAGCGCGACACCCAUAAAAGAUCUGUGCUGAGGUGGAUUAGUCAAAGAGGAAAGACUUGCAGUUGAGAUAGAGGAAGGCCACUGUCUCCUGACUGCCCCUGGGAACUGAAUGUCUCGGUAUAAAACACGAUUGUACAUUUGUUCAGUUCUGAGAUGGGAGAAAAACCGCCCUAUGGUGGGAGGCGAGACAUGUUUACAGCAAUGCUGCCUUGUUAUCCUUUACUCCACUGAGAUGUCUGGGUGGAGAGAAACAUAAAUCUGGCUUACAUGCACGUCCAGUCAUAGUACCUUCCCUUGAACUUCAUUAUGACAUGGAUUCUAUUGCUCACGUUUGUUGCUGACCUUCUCCUUAUUAUCACCCUGCCCUCCUACUACAUUCCUUUUUGCUGAAAUAAUGAAGAUAAUAAUCAAUAAAAACUGAGGGAAUUCAG
rnacentral:lncRNA from 1 species